rnacentral:rRNA from 2 species
UUCCGGUUGAUCCUGCCGGACCUGACUGCUAUCGGAUUGAUACUAAGCCAUGCGAGUCAUUGUAGCAAUACAAGGCAGACGGCUCAGUAACGCGUAGUCAACCUAACCUAUGGACGGGAAUAACCUCGGGAAACUGAGAAUAAUGCCCGAUAGAACACUAUAUCUGGAAUGGUUUGUGUUCCAAAUGAUUUAUCGCCGUAGGAUGGGACUGCGGCCUAUCAGUUUGUUGGUGAGGUAAUGGCCCACCAAGACUAUUACAGGUACGGGCUCUGAGAGGAGUAGCCCGGAGAUGGGUACUGAGACACGGACCCAGGCCCUAUGGGGCGCAGCAGGCGAGAAAACUUUGCAAUGUGCGAAAGCACGACAAGGUUAAUCCGAGUGGUUUGUGCUAAACGAACCUUUUGUCGGUCCUAGAAACACCGAUGAAUAAGGGGUGGGCAAGUUCUGGUGUCAGCCGCCGCGGUAAAACCAGCACCUCAAGUGGUCAGGAUGAUUAUUGGGCCUAAAGCAUCCGUAGCCGGCGCUAUAAGUUUUCGGUUAAAUCUGUACGCUCAACGUACAGGCUGCCGGGAAUACUGCAGCGCUAGGGAGUGGGAGAGGUAGACGGUACUCGGUAGGAAGGGGUAAAAUCCUUUGAUCUAUUGAUGACCACCUGUGGCGAAGGCGGUCUACCAGAACACGUCCGACGGUGAGGGAUGAAAGCUGGGGGAGCAAACCGGAUUAGAUACCCGGGUAGUCCCAGCUGUAAACUAUGCAAACUCAGUGAUGCAUUGGCUUGUGGCCAAUGCAGUGCUGCAGGGAAGCCGUUAAGUUUGCCGCCUGGGAAGUACGUACGCAAGUAUGAAACUUAAAGGAAUUGGCGGGGGAGCACCACAAGGGGUGAAGCCUGCGGUUCAAUUGGAUUCAACGCCGGG